GACGAACGCUGGCGGCGUGCCUAAUACAUGCAAGUCGAGCGGACAGAAGGGAGCUUGCUCCCGGAUGUUAGCGGCGGACGGGUGAGUAACACGUGGGUAACCUGCCUGUAAGACUGGGAUAACUCCGGGAAACCGGAGCUAAUACCGGAUAGUUCCUUGAAUCGCAUGGUUCAAGGAUGAAAGACGGUUUCNGCUGUCACUUACAGAUGGACCCGCGGCGCAUUAGCUAGUUGGUGAGGUAACGGCUCACCAAGGCGACGAUGCGUAGCCGACCUGAGAGGGUGAUCGGCCACACUGGGACUGAGACACGGCCCAGACUCCUAC
rnacentral:rRNA from 1 species